rnacentral:rRNA from 1 species
GACGAACGCUGGCGGCGCGCCUAACACAUGCAAGUCGAACGAGCGAGAGAGAGCUUGCUUUCUCAAGCGGGUGGCGAACGGGUGAGUAACGCGUGAGGAACCUGCCUCAAAGAGGGGGACAACAGUUGGAAACGACUGCUAAUACCGCAUAAGCCCACGACCCGGCAUCGGGUUGAGGGAAAAGGAGCAAUCCGCUUUGAGAUGGCCUCGCGUCCGAUUAGCUGGUUGGUGAGGUAACGGCCCACCAAGGCGACGAUCGGUAGCCGGACUGAGAGGUUGAACGGCCACAUUGGGACUGAGACACGGCCCAGACUCCUACGGGAGGCAGCAGUGGGGAAUAUUGCACAAUGGGGGAAACCCUGAUGCAGCGACGCCGCGUGGAGGAAGAAGGUCUUCGGAUUGUAAACUCCUGUUGUUGAGGAAGAUAAUGACGGUACUCAACAAGGAAGUGACGGCUAACUACGUGCCAGCAGCCGCGGUAAAACGUAGGUCACAAGCGUUGUCCGGAAUUACUGGGUGUAAAGGGAGCGCAGGCGGGAAGACAAGUUGGAAGUGAAAUCUAUGGGCUCAACCCAUAAACUGCUUUCAAAACUGUUUUUCUUGAGUAGUGCAGAGGUAGGCGGAAUUCCCGGUGUAGCGGUGGAAUGCGUAGAUAUCGGGAGGAACACCAGUGGCGAAGGCGGCCUACUGGGCACCAACUGACGCUGAGGCUCGAAAGUGUGGGUAGCAAACAGG